GGUUAAGCGACUAAGCGUACACGGUGGAUGCCCUGGCAGUCAGAGGCGAUGAAGGGCGUGCUAAUCUGCGAUAAGCGCCGGUAAGGUGAUAUGAACCGUUAUAACCGGCGAUACCCGAAUGGGGAAACCCAGUGUGAUUCGUCACACUAUCAUUAACUGAAUCCAUAGGUUAAUGAGGCGAACCGGGGGAACUGAAACAUCUAAGUACCCCGAGGAAAAGAAAUCAACCGAGAUUCCCCCAGUAGCGGCGAGCGAACGGGGAGGAGCCCAGAGCCUGAAUCAGCAUGUGUGUUAGUGGAAGCGUCUGGAAAGGCGCGCGAUACAGGGUGACAGCCCCGUACACAAAAGCGCAUGUGCUGUGAGCUCGAUGAGUAGGGCGGGACACGUGGUAUCCUGUCUGAAUAUGGGGGGACCAUCCUCCAAGGCUAAAUACUCCUGACUGACCGAUAGUGAACCAGUACCGUGAGGGAAAGGCGAAAAGAACCCCGGCGAGGGGAGUGAAAAAGAACCUGAAACCGUGUACGUACAAGCAGUGGGAGCCCCACCACUAAGCCAGUGGUGAACUCCACAUACGCAUCCUUUGCUGAGGAUACGGUUAACGGAGCGAAAGCGACGUUCAACCGCAAAACAAGCAGAGGGGGCUUAGUGGUGGGGUGACUGCGUACCUUUUGUAUAAUGGGUCAGCGACUUAUAUUCUGUAGCAAGGUUAACCGAAUAGGGGAGCCGGAGGGAAACCGAGUCUUAAUUGGGCGUUAAGUUGCAGGGUAUAGACCCGAAACCCGGUGAUCUAGCCAUGGGCAGGUUGAAGGUUGGGUAACACUAACUGGAGGACCGAACCGACUAAUGUUGAAAAAUUAGCGGAUGACCUGUGGCUGGGGGUGAAAGGCCAAUCAAACCGGGAGAUAGCUGGUUCUCCCCGAAAGCUAUUUAGGUAGCGCCUCGUGAAUUCAUCUCCGGGGGUAGAGCACUGUUUCGGCUAGGGGGCCAUCCCGGCUUACCAACCCGAUGCAAACUGCGAAUACCGGAGAAUGUUAUCACGGGAGACACACGGCGGGUGCUAACGUCCGUCGUGAAGAGGGAAACAACCCAGACCGCCAGCUAAGGUCCCAAAGUCAUGGUUAAGUGGGAAACGAUGUGGGAAGGCCCAGACAGCCAGGAUGUUGGCUUAGAAGCAGCCAUCAUUUAAAGAAAGCGUAAUAGCUCACUGGUCGAGUCGGCCUGCGCGGAAGAUGUAACGGGGCUAAACCAUGCACCGAAGCUGCGGCAGCGAACGUAUCACUUAAAGCGAUUCAGCGGGUUACGAUUGACGGAGCGAAGCGACGUCAAAGCGUAUACAAAGUCGAGUCGGUUUAAGGAUACGUUCGUUGGGUAGGGGAGCGUUCUGUAAGCCUGCGAAGGUGGCCUGUGAGGGUUGCUGGAGGUAUCAGAAGUGCGAAUGCUGACAUAAGUAACGAUAAAGCGGGUGAAAAGCCCGCUCGCCGGAAGACCAAGGGUUCCUGUCCAACGUUAAUCGGGGCAGGGUGAGUCGACCCCUAAGGCGAGGCCGAAAGGCGUAGUCGAUGGGAAACGGGUUAAUAUUCCCGUACUUGGUGUUACUGCGAAGGGGGGACGGAGAAGGCUAUGUUGGCCGGGCGACGGUUGUCCCGGUUUAAGCGUGUAGGUGUGUGUUCCAGGUAAAUCCGGUUCACUUUAACACUGAGGCGUGAUGACGAGGCACUACGGUGCUGAAGCAACAAAUGCCCUGCUUCCAGGAAAAGCCUCUAAGCAUCAGGUAACAUCAAAUCGUACCCCAAACCGACACAGGUGGUCAGGUAGAGAAUACCAAGGCGCUUGAGAGAACUCGGGUGAAGGAACUAGGCAAAAUGGUGCCGUAACUUCGGGAGAAGGCACGCUGACACGUAGGUGAAGUGAUUUACUCAUGGAGCUGAAGUCAGUCGAAGAUACCAGCUGGCUGCAACUGUUUAUUAAAAACACAGCACUGUGCAAACACGAAAGUGGACGUAUACGGUGUGACGCCUGCCCGGUGCCGGAAGGUUAAUUGAUGGGGUCAGCGCAAGCGAAGCUCCUGAUCGAAGCCCCGGUAAACGGCGGCCGUAACUAUAACGGUCCUAAGGUAGCGAAAUUCCUUGUCGGGUAAGUUCCGACCUGCACGAAUGGCGUAAUGAUGGCCAGGCUGUCUCCACCCGAGACUCAGUGAAAUUGAACUCGCUGUGAAGAUGCAGUGUACCCGCGGCAAGACGGAAAGACCCCGUGAACCUUUACUAUAGCUUGACACUGAACAUUGAGCCUUGAUGUGUAG
rnacentral:rRNA from 1 species